rnacentral:lncRNA from 1 species
GGACUUACAACGCUCCCUUACUGAUGCUAGUUUAGGGCUUUCCACCAGGGUGGAACAAUGUACACACCACAACUUCCACUUCCUGGAUGUAGAGGUACAAAUAGAGAUGGGAGAAUACAUAACAAAUGUUUACAGAAAACCUACCUAUGUUUCUGUACUGAUCCCUCAUGGUCCUCUGACCCCAUGUCAUACAAGCUUGUAGCGUUCUGGGCCAUGUUCUCUAGAGUGUCCACACAUAUCAUCAAGUGGUCAGACAAAGAGAAAGAGUGCCAAUAUAUUCACAAAAUAGGAAGCAAAUAUGGUUACUCCUAUAAAAUAAUUGAAGAUGUAUGAAAAAGGUUUCUGUCCUCAACACAAAGAAUGAACCUUAAUGACUCCACUGACCAGAGACUUAAUAGGCCUAACUACAUUAAAGUCACAUACAAUAAAAGCAUAGUUAGUACCAUCACCAAAGUUCUAAAGACUGAGCAGUAUAUAGUGGUCAAAAAAGAGGCCUCACAGUAUUUGAGUUGCUGCAAAAUGACAAAGAUUGUAUACCUGAUGAUAGAAAAGCCAGAAUAUAUGCCAUUCCCUUAUACAACAAUGACGAAAACUGCAUACAGUGG